rnacentral:rRNA from 1 species
CUACGGGCUGCUGCAGUGGGGAAUAUUGCACAAUGGAGGAAACUCUGAUGCAGCAACGCCGCGUGGAGGAUGACACUUUUCGGAGCGUAAACUCCUUUUAUAUAGGAAGAAGAUGACGGUACUAUAUGAAUAAGCGCCGGCUAACUCCGUGCCAGCAGCAGCGGUAAUACGGAGGGCGCAAGCGUUACUCGGAAUCACUGGGCGUAAAGAGCGUGUAGGCGGAUUAAAAAGUCAGAAGUGAAAUCCUAUAGCUUAACUAUAGAACUGCUUCUGAAACUCUUAAUCUAGAAUAUGGGAGAGGUAGACGGAAUUUCUGGUGUAGGGGUAAAAUCCGUAGAGAUCAGAAGGAAUACCGAUUGCGAAGGCGAUCUACUAGAACAUUAUUGACGCUGAGACGCGAAAGCGUGGGGAGCAAACAGGAUUAGAUACCCCCGUAGUC